AUUCGAACAUAAAAGUCCAUUCAUUUCUUAAAAAAGCUCCACUUAUUUCUUUCAACCAAAAGAAAUAAAAGAAGAAUUAAGGGAAGCUGAAGCUAACAUUUUAUGAUACAAUAUUGGUUGACCAAUAUGUUUUGGACUUUGGGGUUGUGGGUGGUGCUGUUGCUUUGGAUAUCUCAUGGUGGGUCGUGUGUUUUGGGCUGCUUGGCUAUGUGAUGAAAAAAGACGGAGUUGGAAUGGAGGAGGAUUGAUGAUGGGCUCUGCCUAUCUGAUCCACCUCUUAGGCUAAAAUGGUAUAAACACAUUCCUUGGGUUUCCUUAAUGAGUUUUGAUCAUUCUUUGAUCCUUUGGAAUAUGGAGAAUCAACACAGCAGGUCUUUACCAAGUAUUUUCUCCAAAUGCACCUAUCUAGUAUGUUUCUGUUCGCAGGGUCUCUACUUAGGACAAUAACCAUGGAUGCAUGGAUGUCACCUCCUCAGUCCUCACAAGGGUCACCUUUACUUUCUGUGGCUGUGGAUCUUUCUGGUCCUCAAACUUGACACAUCCGAGCUUUAGAAGAAACGAUGCAGUUCUUCACAUGGAGUUAGUAGCUUCGGUUGCUGUAAUUAACUUGAUCAAGAUGGAAUUGGACAGAGUCAGAGUGUCAUGAGAUCCAUAGAAGACUUGUUCAUCUCCAAGGAGCAGCAGAUUUGCGAAUUGUGCAAAGAUCGUUGCAUCUCAAUUAAGAGGCACAGUGGAUAGGAUUUUGAUUGGUAAGUAAAUAUUGCAAGAAUCAACAGAUGCUGUGAUAAAGAACACUACCACCACAGCCUGCAAUGGCUAUGAGAGCGCUCAGCGUGGUCCACCCUUGCCAUGAGCUAUAUGCUUCUUGUGUGCCUCUUGUGUUGAAAUCUGACUCUUUGACAGCAGUUCAAAUGAUUAACACUGAUGAGGAGUGCUUGCAUCAAAAGGGGUUUUGGUGGAAAAGAUUCAUCGCCUAAUUGAGUUAUGAUGAGACCACAAACUACUGUUCAGUAUGUUCCUCGUAAAGCUAAUGGAACUGCUCACCGGCUUGCUCAGUUUUGUCUUCGUGAAUUAGCCUAUCAUUUUGGAUGGAUGAGUGCCCUCCUUGACUACUCAUGGAUUGCAUUCAAGAUGAUUGUCCUUCUCUGCAUUCCUUUCCUUGAUUCAAUUGUAAUUUCUUGGCAUACGUGGUACUCUUUCCUAUCCCGAAGUUUUGUCCCAUGUGGUUUUUUUCGGGAAGGUUUUAACAAGACCACUUCAAUACAUGCUGACUCUAUUGUUCUUGAUUAUUUGAAUGAAUUAUCGUUUGCCUUUAAAAAAAAGAAUUUCAAGUGAUUGAGCUUUUAG